rnacentral:lncRNA from 1 species
GAAAACACACAAGCUUUUCUUCCCCACCUCUGUGUAUGUCCCCUCUCCCCAAUCUCCAGCAUAUCCAUCAAGGAGACACAGUUUGAGUUGGUUCAGCAGUAGAACAGGAGCACUUGUUUGCAUGUUUCAAAGAAGGGACGACAUCCUGUGCUGAGCAUUGGCUCACAUUCUAGGGAAGACUUUUAAAGUAGGGGUUUAAAGUUGGGUCUACGACAUGUGGCUUCAAAGUCUGUUUCUCUGGGUGCAGUGUCUGCCAGUAUCUCCCACUGUUGAGCUGAUGGCUCUCUGGGGAGUUUCUGCAGGAAACAAGCGUACCAUGUCCUUAGGGGCCAUUCCAAGCUGUGGAGCCCUGUGGCCUAAGGCUGAGGGGCAGCACUGUUAAGCUCAUAUGUGAGUGUUGGCAUCAGGAACCAGCUUUACGGUCACAGGUCACCUCCAAAUCCAGCGACUUCAGUGACAUCAUCCCCCUAGGUGACCACGAAAGGACCCAUGCAUCUGUUGCCAUGGCAAUCGCCACACAUUCCCAGUGUCCACCUGGUUCACCUGCCCACCUUUACCUGCAUGCAGCGGUGGGUGCGGUUAUGUCACAGUCCAAAUAAAAGGCAGAGCCCUCUGACCUCUUUCUUUCCUUCUUUGUUGCCCCUCUCUUGCCCUUUCCCCAUCCCUAAUAAACCUCUCUCCUGAGGAA